UUCGCUAUGUUGCAAUCUGAUGGAUCCUGUGUACAUGAUGUUGUAAUGUAGCAUUGUCCAGUGUGUUCUAAUAAGAGUCGCACUGACAACAGUAGUGGUAUAAACAGAAUCAUUGGGAUAUUAUGAAUAUAACCAUUGCAAUCAUAAUGUUGUUCGCACCAGAGUGAAGAUUAUUUGUUUUAUAGAGGAUAGAAGGAUGCUUCAGCUUAUGGGAAGUCGUCUGUUUAUCAUAAGCAAAGAAGCUGCCUGUAGACCUUCAUCUGAGGAGCCAAUGGAUUCAAAAUGGCCUAUUUUAAAUGUGUGCCUUAUGGAUAAGACGCGUGCUAAACAGAAUGUUCUCUGCGCGCUAAGAAUCUACUAAUGUUCGCGAUAUAAUAAUCCGUGCGCACGAAUUAAAUAAGAUUUCCCUGUCUUUUUUAGAGGAUCCGUAGAAAUAGGUCAUUUUAUGGUUACGAUUUUUAAACUGGCGAAAUGGAUCACUAACUAUUGAUAGCUGAACGGGCUGUCUAACAGGUUUGUUCGCAAGUUAGCUGAUCGGACACAGCAAUACAACUUCGCCAGAAUCAAUGAAGUAAUAGAAGAUUUGUUUACGUGUUUUCUUUUGGAAGCUGUUUCUUGGAUGUCCGUGAAUCCGGGUGCUUCUGUCGAUCCGGGGAUAUUCGAUGGGGGAUAUUUCUCCAGCGCGCUGAUACCACAGACGUCUGAAACGAGAUAUAGGUUGGAAGAGAAGACGCCAUCACCUAUGGUUACAGGAGUAAGCAUAAGUGAUGGAGGCAAGUUACAUGAGUAACAGGAUCUUAAUGGGUGGACAGGUGGUUAACUGGAGAAUCAAGCUAAUGGAAGUUACCUUGGAGACGGGUAAGAAGCUGUCCAGCAAAGAUGUUUAUAGAGUACAUCAAGAUGCACGGGUCAAAAAUAAACCAAUGAUAUUUCACAUAAUAGCCUAUGUUCUAUACGUAGUGCAAUUUUCAAAGUAAUUGACGGGGGGCAUUUCACGUCGUGC